AUGGGCUACUCUUGGGUGGUAGGGAAUGGUAAGAAGAUUCGUUUUUGGGAGGAUCAGUGGUGUGGGAAUGCACCACUAUCCACUCAAUUCUGGGAUUUGUAUUCUUUGGCUAAUGAGCACAACAUUUCUAUUUAUAAAAUCUGGGAUGGAAUUGAUCUCAAGAUCAAUUUUAGGAGGUGUCUGAGGGAUGAUCAAAUCUCUGACUAGAUGGACCUUGUCUCCAUCGCUGGUACUAUUACUUUUAAAGACUGUGAAGAUACUCCAGUCUGGAAGUAUAGUGCAAAUGGGCAAUACUCGGUUAAAUCCUUUUACAACAUUGUAAACUUUAGAGGUAUCCUCCCUGUCCAUACACAACAUGUGUGGAAGCUGAGUAUCGUCCCUAGAGUUCAAAUUUUUCUUUGGUUAGUUUACAAUAAUAAGAUUCUAACCAGGAACAAUCUUGCUAAGAGGCAGCAUGUCCCGCACAUGACCUGCGUGUUUUGCUCUGAAGCAGAAUCUUGCCAGCAUCUAUUUUUUGAUUGUGUAGUGUCGAUUGAACUCUGGAGAGCUAUUGCGGACAUAUCAGGAGUUGGCAAGGUCUCUAAUAUUGAGAACCUUGCAGCCUGGUGGGUGUCCAAUAAGAAACAUGCAGUGGUGAAUGCUUUACAUGCAGCUGCGAUGUGGGGUCUCUGGAAGAUCAGGAAUAACCUGUGUUUCAAUCGAUCUGUGUGGUAUGGUAUGUAG
rnacentral:rRNA from 1 species